UACGUAGGGGGCAAGCGUUGUCCGGAUUUAUUGGGCGUAAAGAGCUCGUAGGCGGUCUGUUACGUCUGCUGUGAAAACCCGGGGCUUAACCCUGGGCUUGCAGUGGAUACGGGCAGACUAGAGGCAGGUAGGGGAGAAUGGAAUUCCCGGUGUAGCGGUGAAAUGCGCAGAUAUCAGGAAGAACACCAAUGGCGAAGGCAGCUCUCUGGGACGGUACUGACGCUGAGACGCGAAAGCGUGGGGAGCGAACAGG
rnacentral:rRNA from 1 species